AACCUCCGCAAUGUGAGAAAUCGCGACGGGGGGAUCCCAAGUGCCAUUCUUAACGGGAUGGCUUUUCAUUAGUGUAAAGAGCUUUUGGAAUAAGAGCUGGGCAAGACCGGUGCCAGCCGCCGCGGUAACACCGGCAGCUCUAGUGGUAACAAUUUUUAUUGGGCCUAAAGCGUCCGUAGCCGGUUUAAUAAGUCUCUGGUGAAAUCCUGCAGCUUAACUGUGGGAAUUGCUGGAGAUACUAUUAGACUUGAGACCGGGAGAGGUUAGAGGUACUCCCAGGGUAGAGGUGAAAUUCUGUAAUCCUGGGAGGACCGCCUGUUGCGAAGGCGUCUAACUGGAACGGUUCUGUCGGUGAGGGACGAAAGUUAGGGGCGCGAACCGGAUUAGAUACCCGGGUAGUCCUAACUGUAAACGAUGCGGACUUGGUGUUGGGGUGGCUUUGAGCUGCUUCAGUGCCGAAGGGAAGCUGUUAAGUCCGCCGCCUGGGAAGUACGGUCGCAAGACUGAAACUUAAAGGAAUU
rnacentral:rRNA from 1 species